rnacentral:misc_RNA from 1 species
AAGUCGUAACAAGGUAACCGUAGGUGAACCUGCGGUUGGAUCAUUAACAAAUUGAUCAUGGCCCAAAGCCUUAACGGGCAGGGCCAGAGUUUUCUCUCGCGAAAGCGAGUCGGAAACCCAAACCCAAUUGUGAACCGUUUUCCGUCUCUGGCGGUGGGGUUAGCCCUGGUGGCCGACCUGUCAGCAUGACGUUUUUUGAUGCCUCCCUCGGGGGGUGCGGAAACGAUGUGCCGUGGACAAGCCACCAAACACACCUUCAACAACGCUUUGUCUGAUAUCAAUUGUCUAACCUGUUUAUUUUGUAUAAAUAUACAAAAACAACUUUUGGCAACGGAUCUCUUGGCUCUC